CCUGUGACGUAAAGCGCUCAUCACCAAUGGCAGCUUGGGGGGCGGCGGCAGAAAGCGAGACCCACUCCGCAGCCCCCCGCGCGUCAAAACACAACACCCGCGUGCGUAACGCAUGCGCAGUAGAAGGGCGCCGGCACCGAGGGCGGGGCCUAAAAACUCUCGGCCGAGCCCCGGCCCUUCCCCCAUCGUUGCCUCCACUCCCCGAAGGGGAGCUCUGAGAUCCUUCCAGGCACAAAUCAUUACUAUCACCGUCAUUCUUGUGAUCACCAGUUUCUGGGGGUUACAGGCCCACUACUUAAUUUUCGUAUUUAACUUACCCGAAAAACACGAUAACCAGUUUGGUUUCAUUUAAACCUCACCAAACUCUGCGAAGUUACUAAAAUUACCUCUAGUUGUAAACAUAAAGGAACUGAGUUAUAUGGAGGUGAAGUGACCGCCUCCGGUAGCACAGCUAGGAAAUAACACUGGAAUUCGAAUGGAAUCCAAAGCCAGAGCCCAACCAGUGUCCUACGCAGUCUUCAUAAAUCUACUCCAGUCUAAGGAAAAACAGGGAUUACCUAAAAAAACAGGACCUUGAAAUCUUCCCAAAACUGGCCUCAGAUGGGAGCGUCCCAAACAUUCUCAAGCUAAACUUGGUACAACGGCCCAGAUACAAAAUGCUGUCUUUGGCUUAAUAUCUGAUAAUGUGCUACCGUUCUAAACACAUAACAUACGCUCAAAAAGACACUUGUUGAUGGGCACGUACAUUAUGCCAGCUGGCCCGCAGAUCACGUGAGCCUGUCCCCAGCUCCGGGCGGAAGAGGCCGGCCCAGCUGAAGGGAAACGCUCCUGGAGGCGAGGGGCGGGCACUGAUGCCCGGCUGCAAGAUGGCCGCCACCGCUCGGCAGCCGCCGCCCCGGAGGUUACUCUAAGGCCCGCAGUUUCCCUUCGUUCCCGCUGAACGCCGCAGCCUCCUUACCAUGAAGCCAGUGAGUCGCCGCACCCUGGACUGGAUUUAUUCAGUGUUGCUUCUCGCGAUCGUAUUGCUCUCCUGGGGAUAUGUCAUCUAUGCAUCAACAGUAGUCGCACGACGACAGCUAAGCAAGAAAUACCCAGACAAAAUCUUGGGGAUGAAUGAGAAUUUGUAAUUCUUCUGGAUUUAAUUCUGUGCAUAUAGUUCUUUACCUCAUGCUUAUAUGACACGUGUGUAUAUUUAAAGUAAAAUCCAUUAUGCAGA